UGGGGAAUAUUGCGCAAUGGGGGAAACCCUGACGCAGCAACGCCGCGUGAAGGAAGAAGGUUUUCGGAUUGUAAACUUCUGUCCUUGGUGAAGAGGAAGAGACGGUAGCCAAGGAGGAAGCCCCGGCUAACUACGUGCCAGCAGCCGCGGUAAUACGUAGGUGGCGAGCGUUGUCCGGAAUUAUUGGGCGUAAAGCGCGCGCAGGCGGGAUAUUAAGUCUCAUUUAAAAGUGCGGGGCUCAACCCCGUGAUGGGUGAGAAACUAAUAUUCUUGAGUGCCGGAGAGGAAAGCGGAAUUCCCAGUGUAGCGGUGAAAUGCGUAGAUAUUGGGAGGAACACCAGUGGCGAAGGCGGCUUUCUGGACGGUGUCUGACGCUGAGGCGCGAAAGCCAGGGGAGCGAACGGG
rnacentral:rRNA from 1 species